rnacentral:rRNA from 1 species
UACGUAGGUGGCGAGCGUUGUCCGGAAUUACUGGGUGUAAAGGGCGUGUAGGCGGGGAUGUAAGUCAGAUGUGAAAUACCCAGGCUUAACUUGGGAACUGCAUCUGAAACUAUGUUUCUUGAGUGUCGGAGAGGAAAGUGGAAUUCCCAGUGUAGCGGUGAAAUGCGUAGAUAUUGGGAGGAACACCAGUGGCGAAGGCGACUUUCUGGACGAUAACUGACGCUGAGGCGCGAAAGCGUGGGGAG